AUGGAGACAAGCGUGGCGUCCAUCCAGCGCUUCGUGGCUCACCACUACGAUGCCGGCGAGCUCGGCCCGUCUAGGUUCUUCAUGACCUCCGUGCACCGCGUUGGAAUCCUCGACGUGCGCCUCCUCAAUAUCGACCGCCACGCCGGCAACAUCCUCGUCAAGAAUCCGCCCACCAGUGGCUGUGCCGCGGACGGCAGCACGUCGGCGCCGCUGGAGCUCGUGCCGAUCGACCAUGGCCUCUGUCUCCCUGAGGAGCUUGACGACCCGUACUUUUAA
rnacentral:rRNA from 1 species